CGAAUCCCCGGCCAAGCUUUAAAGCAGCGAUUCUGGCCCCUGCUGGUCAGGUGAAGAGCGAGCGAGAACCGAGUUCUGCGUAGUUGUUUCCGAGGGGCAGCAAGGGAAAAGGGUUUAACCAUGUCGUCUCUGGUCAGAAAGAUAAUCAGCACCGCGAAAGCCCCCGCGGCCAUUGGUCCCUACAGUCAGGCUGUGUUAGUCGACAGGACCAUUUACAUUUCAGGACAACUAGGCAUGGACCCAGCAAGUGGACAGCUUGUGCCAGGAGGGGUGGCAGAAGAGGCUAAACAGGCUCUUACAAACAUAGGUGAAAUUCUGAAAGCAGCAGGCUGUGACUUCACGAAUGUGGUAAAAGCAACUGUUUUGCUGGCUGAUAUAAAUGACUUCAGUACUGUCAACGAUGUCUACAAACAAUGUUUUCUGUACUCUCCAAAUCAUUUUUCAAGACAUGACUGCAUUUAUUAUUGCUGUGAUGAGGUCUAGCCACGAUCUGUCCUGCUCUCUCAGAACCUUUAACUGAUUUCCAGAGUAGUUUUCCUGCAAGAGCUGCUUACCAGGUUGCUGCUUUGCCCAAAGGAGGCCGAGUUGAGAUCGAAGCAGUAGCUGUGCAAGGACCUCUGACGACAGCAUCACUCUAAGUGGGCCAAGUGUUAUUUAGUCUGGAAAUUUAAUAGUAUUUUUAAACUAAUGGCUUAAUCCUUGUUGGAAAGUGUAAGAUUGAAAUAUCUAGAAAUAUGGAAAUACCAUAUAAUAAGGGAAACAACAUGAAUUGAAGAUUAAUGAUGAAUCUAGUUACUAAUGUUACAAAUUAUACUUCUGUAACACUUGUAUUGCUGGAUGUGGGAAAACAGACAUGCCUUACUGAGUUAACUCAGAAGACUAAAGUAGAGAAAUAACAUAGGAAAGAUGAGCACACCUAAUUCAACUAAACCCUAUUAAUUUAAUGAUGUGAAGUAUUUUAUUAUGUCAGAUAUGUGAUUUUUGCUUGAAUAAAAUUAAAGCAUUUAAAUUUGAAUGGCAGAGAUAAAGGAGAAGAAACUGGACCAAAUUUUAUAUAGAUAAUAUUUUUCUAGUGGAAAUAGCAUGCAGAUUUUCCUUGGUGUGAUUCCAUUUACUGAUUUUUUUUUAACAGUUUAAUGUAUGCAUUAAAUUACAUUACCUAAAUAAAAGUGAAGAAACCAUGA